ACGGAAGGCAGCAGUGGGGGAUAUUGCACAAUGGAGGAAACUCUGAUGCAGCGACGCCGCGUGAGGGAAGACGGUUUUCGGAUUGUAAACCUCUGUCUUCGGGGACGAUAAUGACGGUACCUGAGGAGGAAGCCACGGCUAACUACGUGCCAGCAGCCGCGGUAAUACGUAGGUGGCGAGCGUUGUCCGGAAUUACUGGGUGUAAAGGGAGCGUAGGCGGGUAUGCAAGUUGAAUGUGAAAUCUAUCGGCUCAACUGAUAGGCUGCGUUCAAAACUGUAUAUCUUGAGUGAAGUAGAGGCAGGCGGAAUUCCUGGUGUAGCGGUGAAAUGCGUAGAUAUCAGGAGGAACACCGGUGGCGAAGGCGGCCUGCUGGGCUUUUACUGACGCUGAGGCUCGAAAGCAUGGGUAGCAAACAGGAUUAGAUACCCUGUA
rnacentral:rRNA from 1 species